rnacentral:rRNA from 1 species
UACGUAGGUGGCAAGCGUUGUCCGGAUUUACUGGGCGUAAAGAGCGCGCAGGCGGUCGUUCAAGUCGCGUGUGAAAGCCCCCGGCUCAACUGGGGAGGGUCACGCGAUACUGAUCGACUCGAAGGCAGGAGAGGGAAGUGGAAUUCCCGGUGUAGUGGUGAAAUGCGUAGAUAUCGGGAGGAACACCAGUGGCGAAGGCGGCCAGCUGGGCCAUCCCUGACGCUGAGGCGCGAAGGCGUGGGGAGCGAACGGG